UUCUGCAGAAUUUUAACUGUGUGUUUUAAGGGUGCUAUAUAUCCGACCCUCGCUAUUGAAAAACUAUUUGCAACUUCUGCUUGCAUCUUAUUUUCUGCAUAAUUUGCUGUCUUUGUAAACAAAAUGCAAUCUGGUGGUGACCUUGUUUCUCGCCACAUGCUUGGCUAAUUAAUUAUGCAACAUUUUGGGGGUCAAGUUACUGGUGCGGGCAUAUGGCUAGAUGGUAGUAUGUGCUGGAUAUAUAUAUUUAAUUUAUUGCAUUUAAUUGAAAUGCAUUUCGUAUGAGUUGCUGAGCAUCUGCCAGAGUGUUUUCAUUGUUCUCCGUUUGUUGCUUAGCUGAUAAAGUUGUCUGCACUUAUGGUUGGGUGUUUAAUUAUUUUGCAGAUGGUUGUUUUCAUGCAAAUCUCUGAUGCAUUUGCAGAACUUUCGCUGCAGUUGAAUAUCUCUUUAAGCAAAAGUGUGGAUUCCUUGAACGGUUCUAGGAAUCUCUUUGGUAUUUGUACAAACUUUUGUUCCAACUUCUUCUUCUUCGUUCUAGCACCAACGAAUUUUAAUCAUUAAUUUUCAGACACGUUGAACAUCUUGUCUUAGUUUUCCGACCAUCUUUUUUGUCUUCAUCAUCAUUUUUAGCUCAUUGUAAAUCACUUUAGCUGCUCGUUUGAAUUUUCUCGCAUAAAAAACCCAUUGAUUACUUUAUCUUGAGUUGCUUUUCAUUUGCUCACUGUUUGAGCAUCGCAGCUCCUUCAUCCGGCUUCCGACAUCCUCUUCUGCGAGCUUUCAGCCCGAUGCAUUUCUUAAUAAAUCUUUAAUCCUUCUAAGACUCGGCUUCCAAUUUACCUGUGCGCUGCCUUUUUCAUUUAUCCUACUCUCGUGUCUUUCGCCGUCUUUUUGUGUAUUUUAUUCGCUCAUUAAAUUGGAAAAUUCGAUCAAUCGUAAAAUUCAUUUACGAUUUGCACGCUCAGCAGCUGGACAGAUGAUGGUGAAUCAAAUUGGAAUUGUUUGAAUUUAAAUUCGAUUGAUGCUGCUGUGCCUUCAGUAUUCGCUGUCAUUUGCACCUUUUACGAUACCUUUAAAGUGGUACAAUUUUUCAUUAAGCGCAUUCUGUUUGCUGUAAACAUAAAAUUUAACGUCGCGCAUUUUCUCUAUACCUGGAAUGUGCGUUUUCCCAAACCAGUUUGUGCGAAAUGAAAAUGGGGGAGCUUGCGUCGUCCAUUAAAAGGGGAGCCUCAAAUGCCAAUAAGCCUCUUGGCAUAACUGAGUGCUCUCAGUCGCUCUGUGUGUUUUGCAGCCCUUUGUCGUUUGUGUUUCGCAGUCGUCCUGGAUGGCAAAAAGUUCCAGUUGCCAGCGUGUUAAUUUGUGCGUAAACGUUGCACUAACGAAGCGGAAGCUUUUGGCCCCACGAAUAAUAGAGGGUUAAGAGGCAGGGGGGUUUUUCCGGGGGCGACGGUCCUGUUGGGAUAGAGCGCGUAAUUGAAAUGGCAUUUAAAUGUUUCGGGGGACCUGUGUGACGGCGACGAGCGUGCAUUUUCCAUGCGAGGGAAUGUCAUUCAAAAUUAUGGCGGUUGAUUAAAGGAUGAGCGGGGGUGAAGAGCUGCAGCGCGGGAUGCAUGCCCGUGUCAAAGGUCACAGGCGUUUUGUAGCCAUUAAAACGACGCCGGAGCUUGGUAGUAAAACUUAUUUUAAGGCUUUUGAUUAAUAACGAAGUUCUUGGAAAAUAAGUACGUGUCCUAAA